UUAGCAGUGCAUGUAAAAAAAUCUCACUUUGGGUUGGAUCUUUGAUGCAAUUGAAUUGUUCCGCUUGGCUUCUGAGCUAU